UUUGUUAUGUUUUCCCUCCAUUGUACCGAACCUAACCGUGAUGUCUGAACCGAACCGUGACUUCUGUGUACCGUUCCACCCCUGCAACAAAGCCAUGG